rnacentral:lncRNA from 1 species
AUCCUUUCCCUUCACAUCCAGAGAAGAGAAGAGGAUCCAUAAGGGGGCAUUCCCAGCUCCUUGAUGGUUUGCUGUGUGACUGUCCAAAAAUGUCUCUACAUCUCUGUUUUUCUGGCACCAUAAGCUGAAGUUGGUUCCUAAAGAUGGUUCCCAGGUCAUGGGAGGAAUAGGACAGGGAAUUCCAGAACCAAAUUUCUGUCUAAGAAAGAAACAAUUAUCUAAGAAAUUGUGAGUGGAAUUGGACUGAACGUGGAUGAGUCAGGGCUCUUGAAAAAGAAAGUGGCCGUCCCUCUUUGAGUCAGUUCUGCAAGAGUGGACAGAAACUUUUCCAGACUCCCAGGCCUCUCUGCUCCCUCAGAGCUUGAAAAGAUUAAAGUCAUUCCUCCUCAAGGUCUUCAGUGAAACCCUGGAAAUCUUUCCUUCAAUUUUAAGAGAUUACAGUUCUUCCCAUUGUCUAGCCUCUGUCACUACUUGCUGUAGCAUGAGGUGGCUUCCCUGGGGGAGACACCCUUCUUAUCUUUCUGACUACAAUUAGAGCCUCCUCUCCCUGUAGGGGAGUGAGAGGGACAAGGUCAAGGAUCCUCACAACUCAAUAACAGCUGUAGAGCCUCACCUAUCCUGUGUACUCACAGUGACUCCAUGCAGGGGACCAGCAACAAGGGGAAAGGGAGUGGGAGUUAGUGUGGGGACAGGGGAGAAGCAUGCAUCGGGAUUCCCUGCCUGGUCUAGUCUGGUCUGGGAGCAGGGCAGAUGCUCAACAAGGCAUCCCAGGUCUCGGGGAGCGGCUGGCAGUGGUGAAACACCAGCUCUCUCAGGGCACGUGAAAGUUCAUGUUUCCCCUCCCUCUCCUCUCUCCCUCCCACUCUUCAUGACUGGAUCCAGGGAAGGACACACCUGUCACAAGUACUGCCCUCAUCUCUCCCUGUAACUCCACCUCCACCCCCCAUACCCACUUUAUCCCUCUGCAGGGUUACUAGAGCCUGACCAAAAUUCUCUACUGACCAGAGACAGACAGACAGACCUGUUCCCUGUUCCCCAACUUCCAGUGGUGCUGCGCAUGGAGACGCUGAGGUGGGACCCAAAGACCUGCUCCCGUCUUCUCUCCUUAGGGACUUGCAGAAGCCCCUUUCUCAGAGUCACCCCUCCCAGGAUGAGGUGAAGAGGCUGAAAAGGGAAGGGCCAUAAUGCUAAGGCUGGGGCAGGGGACAGCGGCGCCCUCCAUGCACUCUCCUGAUUAGUGCAGGUAAACAUAAGGGUUUCCCCCAAAUGCGAGGGUUCUGCUUCAGUGCCAUGGAAGGCCCCACCAGCACCUGCUGCCCCUCCUGUUCGUCCUCCCUCUCUUCAGCCCCACAAUUACCGAGAGCGAGUUGUUGAGGCAAGCUCUACCCCAGGCCUGCGUUAAGAAAUUUGGGUGGGAUAGGCCGGGCGUGGUGGCUCACGCCUGUAAUCCCAGCACUUUGGGAGGCCGAGGAGGGUGGAUCACGAGGUCAGGAGAUCGAGACCAUCCUGGCUAACAUGGUGAAACCCCAUCUUUACCAAAAAUACAAAAAAUAAGCCGGGCGUUGUGGUGAGCGCCUGUAGUCCCAGCUACUCGGGAGGCUGAGGCAGGAGAAUGGAGUGAACCCUGGAGGUGGAGGUUGCAGUGAAUCGAGAUCGCACCACUGCACUCCAGCCUGGGC